AACCAGCCGUUGUUUAUGCAAUGGUUGUGGGGUAACUGGGGUAAACAUUAUUUAUGAUGUUAUUAGAUUAUUAAUACUGAUGAAUCAAUGCACGAGUAAUCAUCAGUAGAGCUAGUUAUAACUACAUUAUAUGGUGAAGUUCAGCGGUUUAGUCCAGUGGUUCCCAAUCUAGAGGUCAGGCCUGUCUAAAGAAUCACAAAUUAAGUCUUGGUUAUCUCUUAGAGAUAAUUAAUAACUCUCCUACACCAAUUCAUAUUCUUUUCUAAUCUUUUUUUUCCUGUAAAAUAUUAGAUAAUAAUUCCUCUUUGGGCCUCAAGUCAUUAUUUAAAUGAAGCUUUGGAAACAGGGGAAAGAAACACAAGUGCCAGUUUGAUGGAGUGUUUUAUUAAGCACUUUCUGUAAGGCUGAAAUACAUACUGCUGCUGUCUGCUGCUGCUGUCCGCUGUCUGCUGCUGUCUGCUGCUGCUG